CACGUAGGAUCCGAGCGUUAUCCGAAUUCACUGGGCGUAAAGCGCUUGCAGGCGGCUGGGUAAGUUGGAUGUAAAAUCUUCUGGCUCAACUGGGAGAUGCCGUUCAAGACUGCCUGGCUAGAGGGCGAUAGAGGGAGGUGGAAUUCCCGGUGUAGUGGUGAAAUGCGUAGAUAUCGGGAGGAACACCAGAGGCGAAAGCGGCCUCCUGGAUCGCAACUGACGCUGAGAAGCGAAAGCUAGGGGAGCAAACGGG
rnacentral:rRNA from 1 species